UUUUCAAGUGUCAACUAACCAAGGAAAUUUAUGUUGCAAGGUCCUGCCUGAUAAUUCUGGAAGUUGGCAGAGUGGCAGAGGUUGGGAUGAUUUUAGGCCAUGAUGUUGUCUUUUAUCUUCCCGCACAAAACUAGAAAUGCUACUCUUACUGGUUUCGGCUAAUAUCUUCCCUUUCCUUCUUGUAACAGUAUACUGCAGGUUAUAAGUUAUCAGAGAGAUCAUGAACUUUAACUCAGGUUCAUCAUUGAAGCUACUUAGUAAACAAUUCUGAUGUGAUUGGAUGAAUAUGGACGACUUCAUUGAUCUGAGUUGGUUUAAAUCUGGUUCUGCUGUGAGCAAAGAUUAUUGUCAGAAGAGGAUGCUGUGUUAAAGUUUGCUCAUGUGAUUUCAUAAGAGUCCAAAAAAUCUAAUUAUAGUCAUGCUGUUGUGUUG
rnacentral:lncRNA from 1 species